rnacentral:rRNA from 1 species
GAUGAACGCUGGCGGCGUGCAUAACACAUUCAAGUCGAACGGAGAGAGAGCUUUGGCUCUCAAUCAGUGGCGGACGGGUGAGUAACGCGUGAGCAACCUGCCUUUCAAAGCGGGAUAACGGCUGGAAACGGACGCUAAUACCGCAUGAUGUAUAUUGAUCGCAUGGUUAAUAUACCAAAGAUUUAUCGAUGAAAGAUGGGCUCGCGUCUGAUUAGAUAGUUGGUGAGGUAACGGCCCACCAAGGCGACGAUCAGUAGCCGACCUGAGAGGGUGAUCAGCCACAUUGGAACUGAGAAACGGUCCAAACUCCUACGGGAGGCAGCAGUGGGGAAUAUUGGGCAAUGGGCGCAAGCCUGACCCAGCAACGCCGCGUGAAGGAAGAAGGUCUUCGGAUCGUAAACUUCUAUCCUUGGUGAAGAUAAUGACGGUAGCCAAGAAGGAAGCCCCGGCUAACUACGUG